GACAGGGGGUGCAAACGUUGUUCGGAAUUACUGGGCGUAAAGCGUGUGUAGGCGGCCACGUAAGUCGGAUGUGAAAGCCCCAGGCUCAACCUGGGAAGUGCACUCGAUACUGCGUGGCUUGAGUAUCGGAGAGGUUGGUGGAAUUCUCGGUGUAGAGGUGAAAUUCGUAGAUAUCGAGAGGAACACCGGUGGCGAAGGCGGCCAACUGGACGAAUACUGACGCUGAGACACGAAAGCGUGGGGAGCAAACAGG
rnacentral:rRNA from 1 species